rnacentral:lncRNA from 1 species
UUUUAUCUGAAUGUACAACACUUAAUGGCAUAAAUUCUACAAGGCUGAACACAAUGGCAUGUUUUAUAAAAAUACCCAGCUGAGGACAUAAAAACACCCUUACCUCCAGAAUUAUCUAUAAAUGUUCUUCUCUCUCCUGCCACCUUGUGAAGAACGGGCCUUCCACCAUGACUAAACACCACGAUGGAAGAAGGUUAGUCAAUAAAAUCUUGAGCCAUCUCACUCAUAAUACCUGCCAAUUUCCGGAGAAGUAGACCAAGGGAGGAUUGGCAUCUCAUAUGGUUUGAGAUGUUUUGCCAUUCUGCUUGAACCCAGGAGGCAGAGGUUGCAGUGAGCCAAGAACAGCCACUACAUUCCAGCCUGGGUGACACAGUGAGACUCUCUCAACAAAUGCAAAAGAAAAAGAAAGAAAGAAAAGAGCCUGGUGUCUCUCUUGCCCCUUCUCUUGCCACGUGACACACUGGCUCUCCUUUCCUUCUGCCAUAACUAAAAGCUUCCUGAGGCCUCACCAGAAUCCGAGAUUUGAGUGCCAUGCUUAUACAGCCUGUAGAACCAUGAGCCAAAU